CAUUUACCGUCACGAAGCUUGAACUGUAGUUUGUUUUACGCACAAAACGCAUCGCAGCGUCCGUCUCGAGGGGGACACAAGGGUCAUGUUUGGGGCGACGUGUUUUUAAUGACAGCAAUAAAACACCAUUAGGCUUUGGUUUUGUCUUACCAGCUCGCUAGAUCCAUUAUUCAUCGGACUCGAACCUCAUUGUCACAGUCAACUGCAUCAACAACACUGCGUCUCAAAUCUGACGACACAUACGCGUCAAACUACAGGACAAACUGGUAACAGUUGAAAAUACGUCCAUAUAGAGAAAAAAAGAAACUCAGGCAGGCUUGUGACAAGUGGAGGACAAGUAAAUGAUGACAGAAAGUUCAUUUUUGGGUGCUGUUGGCAGCCCUGCUUUGGAGACCUUGAGAGGGAACUGCAUUUUGAUGAGCCGUCAAAUGAGUGAACAAAGCCGGCUGGAGGCUUCAGUGAGGCAGGCUGCUUUAAUUCAUCGCUUGUGACACAGAACAGGCUCACGGAUAUAGUCAACACUUCCCAGCCUGCCUUCGCUUCUAAAUGUUUUCUGCUAUGACAGAAAGGUUUUUUUAAGCUCUUGCACGUCUCAUCCUUAUGAAAGCCUUUUCCUCAUCACCUUUGUGCCAUAUCUCCUUUUUGCAGAGCAAAAAAAUAUUUUGUAUUCAAGUAUUUUUGUCUUUCUCUUUUCCCAUUUGGCAGUUUUUUUUAAAUUACUUAAAUAUAAACUCACUUAAAUAGCCCUUUUUUUGCUUCAAAUCUAUCUAUAAUUAUUUUUAAGGGGUUUUCACCUUCAAUUGAGGUAGGAUAGUAGAGGUUAUAAACAAGAAACUAUUGAGCGCAGAGAGAGGGGAAGGGUCGGCAAAGGAGCUCGAGUCGGAA